rnacentral:rRNA from 1 species
GACGAACGCUGGCGGCGUGCUUAACACAUGCAAGUCGAACGAAGUGGCGAACGGGUGAGUAAUACGUGAGUAACCUGCCCUCCUUUUUGGGAUAAGCCUUGGAAACGGGGUCUAAUACCGAAUAAAGGGGGAUGGGCUCGGGGCCUAUCGGCUGGUUGGUGGGGUGAUGGCCUACCAAGGCGGUGACCGGUAGCCGGCCUGGGAGGGUGACCGGCCGAAUUGGAAAUGGGCCACAGCCCCACGGGCUACAGGAGGAGGCAGUGGGGGGUAUUGGACGAAGGGCGGACGCAUGAUGCAGCGGCGAGUGAUGGGGGAUUAAGGCUUUCAGGUUGUUAACCUCUUUCGCUAUCGAAGGGGUAGGUGAAGAAGAAGCGCCGGCUAACUACGUGCCAGCAGCCGCGGUAAUUC